GGGGUUUUCACAUGUGGUUGCCCCCAUCUACACCCUGGUCCGGAAGGAUGCCGUUUUCCAGUGGACACCGGCAGCACAAGAGGCCUUCGAGCUCCUGAAGGAGGCUUUUACCUCUGCCCCCAUCCUGGCCCAUCCAGACUCACAGCUCCCCUU
rnacentral:sRNA from 1 species